rnacentral:piRNA from 1 species
UGACAAUUACCGGCCUAUGGCAUUGAGUG